rnacentral:rRNA from 1 species
GAUGAACGCUAGCUACAGGCUUAACACAUGCAAGUCGUGGGGCAGCAUGAAGGAAGCUUGCUUCCUUUGAUGGCGACCGGCGCACGGGUGAGUAACGCGUAUCCAACCUGGCCCUCAGUAGGGAAUAGCCCGGCGAAAGUCGGAUUAAUGCCCUAUGUUCUCCUUUGCGGGCAUCUAAUGAGGAGGAAAGAUUCAUCGCUGGGGGAUGGGGAUGCGUCUGAUUAGCUUGUCGGCGGGGUAACGGCCCACCGAGGCGACGAUCAGUAGGGGUUCUGAGAGGAAGGUCCCCCACAUUGGUACUGAGACACGGACCAAACUCC